rnacentral:lncRNA from 1 species
AUGGCCGUUUCUCGGCCUCGCCUGCUGCUCCUGAUCGCCGUGCCCGCCUGGCUGCUCUGUGUGACUCUGUAUCGCUCCCACCGCCUGUGCAGCGGCAGAGUCGUUUUUGACGCGAGCGGGGCCCUGCCGAGCUACGCGUACCUUUUAUUUAGGAGCCGAAUUCGGGCGCUCCGCAAAAAGCGAGGCCGUCUGUAUCCCUCCACCGAAGGCGUGCCUGAAACCGGCUUCGCCGUAGUCAACUGCAGGAUCGAUACCGAUCACCUCCGACAGUACUGCAGUGCCGCUGGGUAUGGCUGGGACUAUCCCGACAGCGCGUUCCGGGACAUUCCCUUGCUCUACCCUGCCGUGCUUUGUUCCCGUUUAUUUGCUACCAUUGUGUCUUCAGCAGGAUUCAGAUUAAGCCCACUAGGUCUCCUCUGCCUCCAGCAGACAGUGAGGAAAUUGCAGCCUGUGGAUGAGCUGAAGAAAGGACCUUUCCAGUUACAGGCAUCUGUAUCAGAGUACAGGCCUGUUUCAGCCGGGGUUGAGGUUGACGUUUCAUUUAAAGCUGUUGGAGAUGCUGGACCUGUCUGGGAAAGUCAGAUUACCCUGCUGUCACCAAAAACCAAACAUCUGCAAUGUCAUCAGGACAGACUCACGCAGGCCGAUGGGACAGAUGCUGGAACAAGAGUGGAAAUCAGAGUAUCCUGGUCCACCGGGCUGAGGUGGACCUGGACCUUGUAUGGUCAUUUUUUGAAGCACCUGCUCUGGAUUCAGCGUCCUACAGCCUACGGACUGUGGAUGCAGUCUCAGUGUUUGGCUGAAGUUGAGAAGCACAAAGGAGCUGAUGCAGUCAGAGCGCCUGUCUCUGUGCAUGUGCUGUACAGGCAGCCGUUGGUUUUACCAGGCAGGGCAUCCAUCCGAAUUUGGGAAGACCGCAAUGAUGCCAGUUUCCCAGCUCAGAAAGCUUGCAGGUUUCAAAUGGAAGACCCAAAGACAAGGGACUUGUUCAUUUUGGGGGAAGUUAGAAGUUAA